rnacentral:rRNA from 1 species
UACAGAGGUGCCGAGCGUUAGGCGGAAUCACUGGGCUUAAAGCGUGUGUAGGCGGGCCCGUAAGUACCUUGUGAAAUCCCACCGCUCAACGGUGGAACUGCUCGGUAUACUGCGGGUCUUGAGCCACCUAGGGGCAGCCGGAACAAGCGGUGGAGCGGUGAAAUGCGUAGAUAUCGCUUGGAACGCCAACGGUGAAAACAGACUGCUGGGGGUGUGCUGACGCUGAGACACGAAAGCCAGGGGAGCGAACGGG